rnacentral:rRNA from 1 species
AGUGAACGCUGGCGGUAGGCCUAACACAUGCAAGUCGAACGGCAGCACAGUAAGAGCUUGCUCUUACGGGUGGCGAGUGGCGGACGGGUGAGGAAUACAUCGGAAUCUACUUUUUCGUGGGGGAUAACGUAGGGAAACUUACGCUAAUACCGCAUACGACCUACGGGUGAAAGCAGGGGAUCUUCGGACCUUGCGCGAUUGAAUGAGCCGAUGUCGGAUUAGCUAGUUGGCGGGGUAAAGGCCCACCAAGGCGACGGUCCGUAGCUGGUCUGAGAGGAUGAUCAGCCACAGUGGAACUGAGACACGGUCCAGACUCCUACGGGAGGCAGCAGUGGGGAAUAUUGGACAAUGGGCGCAAGCCUGAUCCAGCCAGACCGCGUGGGUGAAGAAGGCCUUCGGGUUGUAAAGCCCUUUUGUUGGGAAAGAAAAGCAGCAGGUUAAUACCCCGCUGUUCUGACGGUACCCAAAGAAUAAGCACCGGCUAACUUCGUG